GCCCUGGGUUUGCCGCGGAGGAAAGCACGUGCUUCCCCUGCAGUCUGCUAGCACCCAUCUGCUAUCUCCCUACACUUCCCCCUUUCCCCCUGUCCCAGAGCGCACGGACUGCAACAUGCCCUGCCUCAUUAGUCACUCUCCGUGGCCGGCCGCGCCGCGCUGUUAGAAGGCACACUCAAGAUCCACAUUCUGCUGGUCUGCAUGGAUGGAUCCCAGAGCUGUUGUUUUUCAUGAUUUAUCUAUCAAAAAACAGCCUACACUUCAUCAUUCUUGCUGAAGAUGGAUCUCUGUCCAGCAAAAAGAAAUUAUCAGUACUGUUUGAUAAGAUGUGCAGUGUGCAUGCACAUUCUAGCAGAAGGAAUGCUCAUACACUACCUGGGAGACAUUACUGCCAUUAGCACCCAAAGCAGUAUUUCCUGAUCCCCCCAGGUCUCUUGCUCCAUGCCUUGUGGAUAAGACAAAGCAUCACUUCAGAUCAUCUUAGCUGGAGAAUCACAGGGGAAAGCAAUGUGCAUAAGGCCUACAGUAUUUCCUGAUGGGGAAAUCAGGAUUCCUCAGUGUUCCUUCUCUUUUAGCUGUGUCCAGAUUUGCUUUCAAACAAUGGCUGUCACUCCUAUAGUGGUUUCAUAGUAAGUCAAUAUGAAGUCAGGCAGCCCCUUUGUGAGUCACUACAUGAAAGCUGCUGCACAUGUGGUCCAAAGAAAAGAACUGAAAGAAUGUGUGAAGACUUGACAAGAUUUUGAAAUACUUUUUUAUCAUUCAUCAUAAUAAGGAGACAGCCGGUUCCUGGGAGAUAUGUAAAAUGAUUAGAACCUCACAAGCCAAGAAUUUUGCAUCAGCUGUUACAGGUGGGUAAUGGUAAGCAAAAUACCUUUAACUUUUUGGAAGAGGCUAGAAGCCAACCAGGAGCAUGGCUAGUUUCUAGGAACAUAGCUACUAGCCUCCAUGUUACCAUGCUUAACCACCACCUCGAUUGCAAUGGGGACAAGGCACUUAACUCCUAAUGAUCUCCCCAACCUGCAAGGGAUGUUGUCCAUGAGCCACAGCACACUGUGCUUCAAAAUGAAGGCAAGUGUUUAAUGGUAAUGUGCUUUCUAAAAAGUCCAGUGAGAUGUCAGCGCAUAGAGCUAAGGUAAAUAAGGACUUGACAGACUUCUAGGACAAAGACGUCUGCAGCAAAACACAUCAGUCCGUGAUUGGACCAUAAGGCUCGCUGACAGCCCAUGGCUCUUUCUUGCCCCUACACUGAGCAAGAAAGAGGCUGAUGGCUUUGGCUAUGUUGUAAACACGGUGAACUCUUGCUGUCCUCUCCUCCCGUCAUCUUGUCAUUAUUUCUGUUUCAGACAUCUGGUUUUGCAGGUCACAAGUUUUGCAAUGGUGAUGUAAGCUCAGGACCAGAAAAGCAGGGGCACCAUCAGCUUUAGACAUCGUCGAGAAGAGACUCUGCAGAGCCCUGUUGCCUACAAGGAGCAGCAUGCUGAAGUACACCCAUCAGUAUACUGGUUAUAUACUGAUAAUGUAUGUAAUUAUCAGUGCAUAAAUUACUGAUCCAGAUGUAAUCUGCAUCCACAUCAUGCGGAUGCAGGAUGAUGUUUUUAUAUGGCUACUAACCUGAUGGUCCAGCUCACUAGGAGUGAUGCACAUCAUUAGGAAGAGCAGGGGAUAAGCAUCAUGCUGCUGCACAGAACUGCUAUGAAGGUUCAUGUGCCACCUCAGCUGUACAUCUCUUUAUCAACUCAGUUGCAAGCCUCGGUGUGCUGGGGUUCAGGUUGCAAGGAAAAGAAAAAGGUGAAGCUGAAGGGCACAACAUCGUAACACCUGGUGAUAUCACCUCUUCCAAGCAGCUCUGGUGGUUUCUUGCUAGCUAGGGAGUUACAGCAGCUGCUUGAUGUGAGAACAGCAAAGAGGGCUUCAUCCCUGUCUGGUCCCUUCAACCAGGGGUGCUGAAUGACAACACCUGGGAUACGUGGCCAGAGACUGUCAGUCACAGACUCACAGGGCUGCAGCUAUGAGCCCAACAGCCUCCUGCUGGCUCACAUCCAGAGAACAUCACUGUUUUUUUUUCACUCCCUAAGGCAAACCAGGCACGUAAUAUACUGUUUUUAGGGGUUUUUGUUUGUUUGCCUUGCCUUAGAAGUAAAGGAGAACAAGGAAAAGCAUGCAAAAUUAAAUUAUUUAUUCAACAGAAGCAAAUCUCCAUCCAGAAAAUGCCUUCCGACAUGGUGGAGAGGUAAGAAAUGACUGCACUAAAUUCAAAGGCAGCCACACUGAGGGAAGGCAGAGUUUCAGCAUCUGCUACAUAUGAUAUUCAAACACAGAAAAUGAAUGGAGUUGUUAGGAAAAAAAACACUGUAAUGUGCCCUUCUCUUAGAGAUCUGCUGUCUGCAUGAAAUUCCAACUCUGUUCCGACACAGAACAAAUGGGACAUUUAGUGAUUUUGGAGCCAAAAGUCUAUUUUGCAUUUCUUUUCAAUUUGAGAAAACUCUGACUACAGUGGCCCUCGGGAGGCACUGAACUAAAGAAUGAUCUUGCAUUUGUGUCUCAUCAGGCAUCUGGUAAAGGCAGAUCACAGCCUGCAAGGCAGCCGUAUAGACCCAAGGCCAGUGUGAGAUAAGUAUUAUCUUGACGCUGCAGCACAGAUUGCACUUGUGCUGAUUCAGAUUUUAGCUCCUCUCUUGGGCAGAGAUAGAGCCUGGGAGACGCAGCUGACCCAAUGUGAAUUGGACAAGUCAGCAAGGGAGAUACUAAGGGAGAUACCAGGCCAGUUCAGCCUGGAGAAGACAGAGAGGGGAUCUUACUAAUGUGCACAAGUAUCUUAGGGGAAGUAUCAACAGGAUGGGGCCAGGCUGUUUUCUGUGGUGCCCAGCAACAGGACAAGAGGCUCAAACUGAAAGCAGAGAGGCUCCAUCUGCACAUGAGAAACAAAUUCUUCAUUUUGAGGGUGGCAGAGCCCUCACACUGCCCAGAGGUGCAUCUCCCCUGCAGAUAUUCAGACCUGCCUGGAUGUGCUACUGGGCAAUGUGCUCUGCAUGACCCUGACUGAUGCUGCGGGCUUACACUACGUGAUCCCCAGUGGUCCCUUCCAACCUCAGCCAUUCUGUGAGUGAUUCUGAGACUCUAUAGAGUGUAUGACUCAAGUGUAUGUUUUGCAUGUGUGAGGCAAGCACAGCGCUUCACACAACUGAUCAGUAGGGUCUUUGUUAUCUGUUCCUGUUCCCUGUUCUACUGCUCUCUGAGGCUUAAUGAAAUCAUGUACAUGUGAGAAAGCAGACCAUUUUAUGGUUUAUGUUGCUAUUCAAUAUUUACUUUUUGCUGAUCUCAGCUUAGGAUGUUAGGAUGCAAGGGAAACCUCUCUUACUCGUUAGCCUGCCCCAAGGCAAACAUUCUCAUUAUUGUUUAUGUUAUAAUAUUGCCUAGAAAUGUACAAAAUGAAAUUCCUGUCUUAGUGAAACUAGCACAACCAUGCCUACUUUUCUGUGGCCAGGAUCCCUCCUCAUGUGCCACUGAAAUACCUCUGUGUUUUAUAUAGCCCUCUGUGAAAGUGCCAAAUCCUACUAAUAAAAACACCAAAGUUCAUGAAUCUGACAGAAGGACCAGUACACCAGCUUCAUCUCUGAGUUAUCUGAGUUCCUCUCCACCACAAUGGUUGCUGACAGCGGUGUCUUGUCUCACUUGGUAAUGCCACUCCCCACACAGCUCCAGAAAUCACAUUCUUGUUUCCAAUUCCUUACAGCCAUGUCUUGGCACCACAAAAAGGACCUGCUCACACAGCCCCUGCUGUGCAAAUCCAGCAUCCACCAUCAUCUUCUGUUUGAUUUUAUUCUCAAUCAGGACUGAAAAUAGUUCACUGCAGGCUUCCAAAGGUGCCAUGUCAUUGGGAGCACAUGCUGCUCACGCAGGUGAUGCAGACCAGUGCCUGCGUCUGCGGCAUCGACCAUGUGAACCUUAGACAAAAAACGUUUUUGUGCCAGAUGGCUUUGGCUACUCCUCAUUUGUGUGCUCUCCCCUGCGACACCGAGGAGCUUCUCCAUUUCUGUCUCUCUCAGCCCCCGCUUUCUACAGCCCCACCUAAUGGAAUGAAGCAUGGGGAACUAAAAAUGAUUCUUCAACAACUGUGCACCAUCAGUGCAGUUAUCCCAGUCACUCUGUUGAUGGCUAAGAGGAAGGCUGGCUGAUUUCUGUCUACAGAAGUACCUCCUGAAGGGCUUUCCUUGCACUGUGCCCACACAUAGUAUUUAUCCAAAGCACGGGUAGGUUUGUAAAGAAAGCCAAGAUGGAAGGAUGCUCAGAGGUUCGAGGUCAAGUAACAUAUGCAGGGAAGUUCAGAUCAGAACAGAAAGCAAGUCAGUUCCAGACUAUUUUUUUAACUACAAACCAGUUCUUCUCCAAACAUUUUCCAAGGGACAGCACAGAGUAAUGGAACAACUCUGGGGUGAGCUCGUGAAAUCUCUCUACUACAGGAUGAAUGACCCGCAUUACUGUUUAAAAAGCACACUGAAGAAAAUUGAAAUUCCACAGGGCAGGAGUCUACCAGCUUCUGAAGAAUUUGGCAGCAGAUUGGGAUUCACAGCUCAGCCUUGAAGAUAACGAAGUUACAACAGACUAUCUCAGCUGUGCAAGAUGACCCCAUGAAGAGGAAUUCAGGAUAAUCCCAUCCUGGGUUCUGUUUCAGAAAAUAAAAGUUACAGAAUUGUAUAAAUUUA